AACGCACCUUGCGCCCUUUGGUAUUCCGAUGGGCAUGCCUGUUUGAGUGUCUUGAAAUCAUCAAACCCCCGGUUUUGCGAUCGCGGGGCUUGGACUUGGGGGCUCUGCUGCCGCGAGGUGGCUCCCCUUAAAUGCAUCGGUCGGGCCUACUGGGGCUCCGUCACCUGGGCGUUGUAUUACCCUCGCUCUGCCGACGUGCCACAGCUUUGUGUGCCCGACCCCGACCUGCCUCUGGAGCGGCGGUCAACACUCUUUGAGAUCUGACCUCAAAUCAGGUAGGACUACCCGCUGAACUUAA
rnacentral:misc_RNA from 1 species